CACGGUUCCCCCUCAAAACAGCAUGAGAUCGCUUUACACCGUGCACGUCAUCAGCGCUGACAGAAGUUCAGCAGGAUGUUAGCUUGAAUCUGACUGUGAGCUCUGCAAAGUUUCUGCAGCGAAGUCCCUCCUCCUUCCUGUUUACUGCGAAUGAACCAUGGCCACAAGCAAAGCAGCAGCAAAUGAGCGAAGGAAACCGGGUGAUGUAAUGCAACAGCGGAUUUGCAGGAAAAGUGCAGUGCGGCGCAGCUGUCGUGAUGCAGAUAUCAGAAAUCCACAGCGAAACACUGGUACCCUGUAGACGGAAGCGUUCUCAUGCUGGAAGAGAGGACUUCCGUCAGGAUAGAAUGCUUCCAUCACAGGAUCAAGGUGAUCAGGAUGAACUUAUAGCCCUUCUUGCCUUCUCCUAAUCACUUUGCUGUCUUGUCUUAGUGCACACAAUGUUAGACGUGUUUAUUUGUGAACCGUGAAGAUGAAUACCCACAGAUCAGCCGUAACAGGCAUAGAUAGGUGCCAGAAGCCAGGUUUUCCAGCAGAACAUCACCCAGAAUAUUAAUCUGCCUCCACUGAGGCGCCUUCUUUCCCAGGAGCACCAAGUGGUGUGCAGGCAUCAGCAUGGGUUCUCUGACUGCUCCACAUCCAGCAUAACAUUUACUCUGUGCGCUUCCACUUCUGAUUGAUUCCUGUCAGCAUCUGAGCAACUUAUUGUUGUGUGCUACAGUAGUUAUGUGACGAUCUAGCCUUCAGCAUCCAUCACCCUCACUCAUUCAUCAGUUGUCUUUCCUUGAAGCACUUUUGGUUAAUACUAACCACAGCAUCCCAGAACACCCCACAGUGCCUGCUGUACUGGAGAAGUCAUCUGAACAUCUUUGUGAAAGUUGUUUAGGAAAAAAAACCCACCAGAUGUAUUGCAAUUUUUAUUUCAUUAGCUUAAACAACAAAUCAAUGUUAGCAUGUAAGAAAUGUCUAAUUAAUAUGAGAACAGUUUGGUACAACGUGAAUGAUAAUAUAGAAAAAAGACCAAUAAAAUGCAUUUUGUGGACAUUCAGUUGGAUCAUGUCCAACAGACUUCUGAAAAGUCGACUUGGUCUCAGCCACUCCUGAAGAUGGAGAAGUCAGCUUUUUGAGGCCAAUGCAGUCAACAAUUCAUCACCUUCAUCAAGAUCAUCAUUCAAACGACCCCCACUGCAGCAAACUUUACAUUUCCAAACCUCAUAGAACAUAAACACGUUACACAAUCCAUACUGUAACAAUAAAAAUGGCAUGAAGAAUAAAUGCACAUUUUCUUUUAAAAGAA